GGCUUGCUCACACAACCAUAAACAACCAGUCCAGUUCCCCUUAUCUCAGUCUUGUCCAGAGGGUAACAUCCGAGUAACCUAUUGUUUUAUCACAAGGCUCUCGGGUCCUUUGAAGUACAGGAUGAGUCCCAGCGUGCAGGCUCGUUCAAAUGCUAGCCUUUUCUGGGUCCCAGUUUGACUCCCCUCUUACA